CCAAAUUCAUGAAAAUAGAGGUAUUUAACACCACAGCCCCUACAAACGCAUCACAAGGUCAUGAUCGGGAAUCAACACCUCUUGUGACUACCAACUACCUGUGUACAGCUCACUUCGAUCCAACUAAGUACUCAAACCCCUUCAUGCAGUUCUUCCUGAAAAACAGGAACAACAUAGUUGCAGUGCACCCUGGUACCCCACCACAAACUGCGCUAACAACACCUAUUCGAUAAAACCACGGAAAUCGUAAGAGUUUCCUUCUUAAGCUGCACAGAGCGUUGCGUACCGACCCUCCACCGCUGCUAUACCCAAGCCUACUUACUUGCUCCCAGACUAUGGAACUCUCGAGUCAGCACAAUACAGUCCAGGCACUUACACCACACCAGCUACAGCUUCAUAUUCGGAUGUGUGAGAAUGUUCUAGACACCGUAACACGGAAAACGAUCAACCACUACAACCUACUAAACUGUCUUCUUAGUUCUGAAGUAAACAGCCACGAUGUGCUGUUACCGAGACCUGCUUAGAACAGAGAUGAUCACACAAACCGGCUGCCUAAAAUCGAUCUACACGGUGCAAAAGCUACACAGAAAGCACCAACAAUUCCGCCAACUACCCAAACUAGAUUCUGUCGACUACUACCACAAAAAGCAACUGAUAGGGCACGACAUAUCCCACACCGGUGCCAUCUCUGCGAUCUUCACCAGCAGCACCUACGCCACGAUCGGUGCACCCCGAAACAACCACCUUGCCGCAACUCCUUACUGUAAGAAGAUAUUCCCGUCUCAGAACAAAGCACAAAAGCAACUCCGCCUGCAAGUCUAAACGCGAACUUGAGAUCGCGAGAGUAGCAAAGAAAACGAAUUAGCACCUUCGAAGAACUUUGUCAAGAUCCUAGCAAAGCUGUUCCCCUUGCCAAGU
rnacentral:lncRNA from 1 species